AACGCACGAGACCUGCGGACCUGCGGAAGGAUCAUUAAUGUUACCUCAUCCAAACUUGUUGUCAGAAGGAGGGAGUUUCGACUUUCUUUCUUCUGGCAACAAAAAGCACCUGUGAACAAGGUUAAAGUCCUUAACAGCAUUCUAAACAAAUGCUGUUUAAAAAGCACCUUAUUUUACAUAUGUCUAAAAUUAAAUGAGCCAAGAAAAAAUUCUUUUUUUUUUUGGCGAGAAAAACAUUUA
rnacentral:misc_RNA from 1 species